rnacentral:lncRNA from 1 species
CAAAAUAAGGUUAAAAAUACAUAUGCAUACAAGGACUUGCGCAUAAAAGAAAACCAAUAUAGGUCUGCAUAUAAGGAUAACUAAAACUCUAAAAAGUUAUAAAUAUAAGAAUAAAAGAAUCUAAGGAAAUAAUCCUACCAAAUAUGGGUCAAAAAUAAGAGAAGAAUAUAGAACAAAUAAAUAAAAUUAAGAAGAUAGGAAACACAAGUAGAAUAAAAUAAAGCCAACCCUACAAAUAGCACCCACGAAAACAAUAUACACCUUGGGUAACUAAAAGCUUUGAAAAAUAAGGAAAUAAAACUAGUCUUAAGAGACUAAGCUUAAACUAGAAAUAAAAAGUAGAAGAGUAAAUAGACGUAAGAAUGAGAAAGUUGAAAAAAUAAGGUUAACAACUGUUGACGCCAGAUUUUGACACAUGUCUAAUCGGCGUCAGGGAAAGAAGAAACCAGAAGAAACGGCGAGACACAGGGAUGGCGGUUGGAAAUCGGCCGAUUGGUGCUACAGUUAUGGAUCGGCCGAUUGACCUUUGGAGUUCCGCCUCGCCCGACCCUACUGGGAUCGGAUGUGCCCAACCCUCCAAGGGAGGAUCUCCGCCUCGCCCGAUCCCAGGGUCGGAGUAGUCUGAGCCCUUGACACGUGGGUCCUAAUCGGUUGUCCCUUGCCGAUGAGGUGAAUAGAAAAUGGCCGAUUAGGAGGUUGGAAUAAUUGGGCCGGUGUGGGCCUAAAGAAGAUUAUGAAGAUGAAGAAGGAAUCAGCCCAUGAAGAGCGUGAUAAUCGACCUAGUACGAAUCGUACUUGUAAAUAUUCAUUUUCUGUUUAAGUUUAGGGAUAGAGUUCUAAUCGGAUAAGAAGUCGUUUGUAACAGGCUAUACAUAGCUGCCUUUGUAGAUCUGUAAUCAUCAUCAACUCAAUACAACAAACUACUACUUCCUCAUACUUACUUUGAAGCCGGCGACUUUGCCAAUACUUUUCUCUUUUCACGAGUUCGUACGGGUUGGCGGGGUUGCAUUAACUUGACCUCCGGCCGAUCUUGUAAGUUCCGCUUAUCGAAUAAUUUCUAAGUUUUAACUUCGGGCGCAUCGCUGUUGUUUCGUUUAGAUUUAUUCAUCAAUUAUCGAUAUUUACUAGAAUUUUAGGUUUUACCUGUUGUUCUGGUUUUAUCACUAGUUAUCCAGCUAGGAAUCGGCAAUUUCGGCUUUUCUUGUAUUUCGUCAUUUGAUCUAUUUAUUUCACGCAUAGCCGAUUAGAUCUGUUCCUAGUGUUGUUACUGUAGCGUUGUUUAGAUUACUCCAGUGGUUUUCUUUAUCGACGUUGCCUGGUAAUCGGUCACAUUGUAACCGAUUUCCUCAAUAUAGCAAAUCGGCCGAUUCGCUGAUAAGCUUUCUCGAGAUCGGAACUUUAGCCGAUCGCUACCUCUGGGAUUUGACACGUUUCUCUCCUUGCCAAUCAACAGGUCAGAUUGGCUGGCACGCCGCGCGAACCGCACUAGGGCGAUCACCCGAACAGGGGCUAAGCAGAUUCUCCCGGGUCGUGUGUCCGACGCUAGGGAUUCGAUCAGUCGAUUUCUAGCGCCAACACACUUUUGGCACGCCCGGUGGGACCGAUACAACCGCUACUAUGUCGAAAGCUGCUGAAGUCUCGGAAGAUAACGUCAUCGAAGUGACAGAAGCAGACCUCAGGGAUGACCAGAGGGAAGAAUUAGAGAAGCAGACGGCAUACUACCGGAAGACAUGUCUGCAGUCCUUCAGUCGCACCAGGAGUGGAGAGACUGUCAAAAAGACUCCGUUUCCAACUCCCCGCCAGAUCACAAUCACCGAGGACUCGGACAAGAUGUCCGAGAUGGUUCAACAAUCUGUCUAUCAAGCUUUCAUCGAUCAAUCCCCGGUGAUUUCUAAUACGGUAUACAAUGCCGUCAUCAGCUCCUUAGCUAGCGGCGUAUCUCAAGGGUACCAGGGGCCGGCAUAUGCUCCGCCAAUUACAGCUCCGAACAAGAGUUAUUCAAAUACACCUUAUUCGGCUGCUCAGCCGACCCAAAUUCCAGUUGGAGGUUCUGGCGCUUCCUCAUCAUCGAUCCCUAUGGGGUUUAAUGGUGCGCAAUAUCUCCAGCCGCGUCCCAUUCAGUUGUCCUCCUCGCAGUUUCCUCCGUUAAAUCCAGCGCCUUGGGGGGCACCAUCAGUGACGGCCGCCUAGGAUCAACCGGCCAACCAUGGAAGUCCUCAACUCCAGGCAUCUUUCCAGGCGGCCGCUAGGCCAAUCAUGCCGCAGUAUCAGCCUGUCGCACCGGAGAUGAGCAGGGCGGCAGAAACAACGGAGGUACUUCGGGGCGUUGCACCACUCGUGCUGUAUGAUGAAGCGGGCGGCUCAUUCAGGCAGCCGAUCCUGACUACGCAGCCGACUAUGACACAUCAGACGCCGCACAUUUUCACUCAGCAUCAAGUCACCCCGCCGCCGGUAUACCAGCACGUACCGGUUCCCCAGCCGAUAGCUCACCAGCAACAGCCAGACUGGACGGCGCGCAUAGCGGAGGUGAUUCAAGAACAAUUCGGCUUAAAACCGAAGGUGCAGACCUACACAUACAAGACACCAUACCCGCCUACAUACGACUCGCUGCCGUUUCCCCAUCGGUAUAAAGUUCCCGAUUUCACUAAGUUCUCGGGGCUGGAUGACACUUCAACUGUGGAACACGUGAACAGAUUCAUCAUCCAAUGUGGGGAAGCAGCGGCGCAAGAUGCUCUACGGGUGCGCCUUUUCUCGUCAUCCCUGUCUGGGUCGGCCUUUCAGUGGUUCACCACGUUACCGCCCAACUCGAUAAUUACAUGGGCCGAUCUGGAAAGGCAAUUUCAUAAAUACUUCUACGCCGGAAUACAUGAGAUGAAGCUGUCCGAUUUAACCAGCCUCAGACAGAGAAGCGACGAGCCGAUUUCCUCAUAUGUGCAAAGGUUCAGGGAAAUCAGGAACAAGUGCUACUCCCUAGCCCUGACCGAUGCGCAAUUGGCCGAUAUAGCCUUCCAGGGUCUCCUGCCUCAUAUCAAAGAAAAGUACGCUUCGCAGGAGUUUGAGAGCUUAAGCCAAAUCGUCCAUCGACUGUCUGGUCAAGAAGUACGCCCUUUUGAUCCACGGAGAAACUUCCAGAAGAAGGUGGCAUACUUAGAAGGGUUUGAAACGGAAGAAGAAAUAGAGAUCGGCCUUGCAGAAUGGAUUAAAGGGAAAAAGCCGAUAUCGUGUCCAUUCGGAAAAAAGGAGCCGGAAACGUUCGGAUUUGACACAUCAAAGGCCGAUAAAAUUUUUGAUCUUCUCCUCCAGGAAGGACAGAUUAAACUCUCGCCGUACCAUACGAUUCCGUCUGCCGAACAGCUGAAGAAGAUGAAAUAUUGCAAGUGGCAUAACGCCACCUCCCAUGAUACGAAUGAAUGCAAAAUCUUCCGGCAGCAGGUACAGUCAGCCAUCGAGCAAGGCAGACUCAAAUUUGAAGUUCCAACAAAACCAGCCAAGCCGAUGAAGAUCGACCAGCACCCCUUCCCCACCAACAUGGUUGAUACGGGGAGGAAUUCGCUCCAAACCAAGGUACUGACGUCCGAAUCGGCUAAGCAAAGCGGCGCCGUGGACCCCAGGAAUCAAGCAACACCCGAAGACGUCAAGGGAAAACGGCGAAUGGAAGAUGAUGACGACGGAAUGGGAGAACCACGUAAGCCCAUCACUUCCCAAUUUCUGCUCAAUAAGUAUCAGCGGCAACAUGAACGCUCGAGAUCCCGGGAAGAGGCGAUGCGGCGACAUGAAGAUCACUGGCGAUGUCCGUUCUUCAUCCACUGUUGGGAAAGCAACCUCAGGUUGCCAUCGGCCGAUAAUUGCCCCGAGUGCAACGGCCCGUAUCGUAACAAUCGGCCGUUCAGAAGGUCUCGCUCCAGAGAUGGGAAAUCAGAGCCGAUCAGCAGGAACUGGCGCGACCAAGAAGACCGGCGCCCUCCAGUACGUGAUCGGCUGGGGGGCAGAAGUGACCGAUAUGACCGGUCGGAAGGCAGGCGCGAGCGAAACGAUAGGCCGGGGGGCAGAUUUGAUCAACAUAACCGGCCAGAAAACAAGGUUAGCAUCCACAGUCGACUUGAAGAAAUGGCCGAUGCUCGGGUAUCAGACGAGAGUCCUUUAGGAAGUAAACCAGAAUGGGAACGCGCCAGGCCACAGACCAAACUAGUAAACCCCAGGUGGUGCCCUGAUGGAUUGACCAAAUCUCAAAAAAGAAGAAUCCAACGUCUCCGCCAAUGGGAACAGCAGGAAGAAGAACAACGGCAUACGACGGAUGAGAAAAACGGCAGGUCUCAGGUCUGGUGCCCCAAAAGAGGCGACAGGGUAUACGACAAAUUGGCAGCCGACAUCGGCAUGGUUUUCAUACUGCCGAUGGAGUUCAUGACUCCUGCCGACCGACAGAACAUGUCAGCAAUAGAAGAGCAGAUGGCACAAUUGGCUUUAGAACGAAUGACAGCCACGUUCGAGAAACCCGAAGAUGACAAACGACAACACCUGAAGGCGUUGUUUCUUAAAGGGCAUGUCAACGGCCGACCCAUCACCAGAUUACUGGUGGACGGAGGAGCUGCAGUUAACAUCAUGCCGUACGCCAUGUUCCGGAAGCUAGGGAAGAGCGAUGACGACCUGACCAGGACAGAUAUGAUGCUCAAGGACUUCGAAGGCAACGUAUCCCCCGCUCGCGGCGCUCUCUGCGUCGACCUCACCAUCGGCAGUAAGAACCUUCCUACUACUUUCUUUAUCAUUAAUGGCAAGGGGGUCCUACAACAUGCUACUCGGCCGAGACUGGAUACAUGCAAAUUGUUGUAUCCCGUCUACAAUGCAUCAAUGCCUCGUGCAAUGGGUCGGCGACAAUAUCGAGGUGGUUACCGCCGAUUCCGCAUACAGCGUCGCGGCAGCCGACACGCAGUAGUGGAGCUGCGAGAACGUCAAAUGCAUAUCCGGGAGAAUAUGGGACACUGAUUUCUUGAAGGUGUCCGAUUUUGGCCUGCAGCCGAUCCGAGCAGUCGGCUCCGAAGACUCAGACUAAAUGGAUCAGUUCGCCCGAGAAGAUGGGAAGCUGGGACACGGAUUCACGUCGGCCGAUUCAUUAGAAAUGAUAGACUUAGGCGAUGGCUCCAAACCAAGGCCGACAUAUAUUAGUGCAAAUUUGGAUCCGAAAUACAAAUGUAAAUUGACAAAUUUAUUAAGAGAAUUCAAGGAUUGCUUUCCUUGGGAAUACCAUGAGAUGCCCGGAUUAGACCGAUCUAUUGUUGAGCAUCGGUUACCCAUAAAGCCGGGGUAUCGGCCGUAUCAACAGCCUGCACGGCGAUGUAAUCCUAAAAUCCUACCAGACAUAAAAGCCAAAAUAACGCGGCUAAUUGAAGCGAAAUUUAUUCGGCAAUGCCGUUAUGCCGAAUGGAUCUCCAACAUUGUACCAGUAUACAAGAAGAACGGAAAGCUACACGUAUGCGUCGAUUUCAGGAACCUCAAUUAGGCCACACCAAUGGACGGAUACCCCAUGCCGACCGCCGAUGUGCUGAUAGAUGCCGCCGCAGGACACAAGGUUAUUAGUUUUAUGGAUGGAAACGCUGGGUAUAAUCAGAUACUAAUGGCCGAAAAGGACAUAUCCAAAACAGCCUUCAGAUGCCCGGGUCACCUUGGUUUAUUCGAGUGGGUGGUAAUGACUUUCGGUUUGAAGAACGCCGGCGCUACGUAUCAGAGAGCCAUGAAUUACAUAUUUCACAAACUUAUCGGCAUACUAGUAGAAAUUUACAUCGACGACGUCGUAGUCAAAUCAAAAGGACACCAAGAGCACCUGGCCGAUUUGCGACAAGUACUGGAAUGCACGAAGAAACAUGGGCUGAAGAUGAACCCGAAUAAAUGUGCCUUCGGCGUAUCCGCCGGACAAUUCUUAGGAUUCAUGGUGCAUGAGCGGGGAAUAGAAAUCAACUGGAAGACCAUAGCGGCCAUCAAUAAAACUGAGUUGCAAUCUCUAAUCGGCAAGUUGAAUUUCAUAGGAAGAUUCAUAUCUAAUCUGUCUGGGCGAAUCCAAGCCUUCACACCAUUAUUAAAGUUGAAGCCCGACCAGGAGUUCAUAUGGGGGGAAGAGCAACGCAAGGCAUUAGAAGAUAUCAAGCAGUACUUGGUCUCACCACCAGUAUUGGUCCCACCUCAAACUGGUAAGCCGUUUAAACUAUACUUAUCAGCUGAUGAACGAGCUAUCGGGUCGGCUCUGGUCCAGGAGUUCGAGGGAAAGGAACGAGUAAUUUAUUAUGUCAGUAGAAGACUUCUGGACGCCGAAACAAGGUAUCCUCCAGUAGAACGGUUGUGCCUAUGCCUUUACUUCUCAUGCACCAAACUCAGGCACUAUUUGCUAUCGGCAGAAUGUGUGGUCGUAUGCAAAGAUGACGUGGUAAAGUACAUGCUGUCAUUGCCGAUCUUGAAAGGACGAAUCGGAAAAUGGGUUUUAGCUUUGUCGGAGUUUGAUCUUCGAUAUGAAUCGGCAAAGGCCGUUAAGGGUCAGGUCAUGGCCGAUUUCGUUGCCCAGCACUAUGGACCAGAGGCCACCUUCGUGGAACCAGUACCUUGGACCUUAUACUUUGAUGGAUCAUCAUGUGGGGCCGGGUCAGGAAUCGGCAUCGUCCUCAUAUCGCCUCGGGGGGCAAGCUAUGAUUUCUCUCUGCUGAUAGAAGCAUCCGCCACUAACAAUCAAGCAGAGUACCGAGCUGUACUGAAGGGGUUACAAUUAUUAAGGGAAGUCAGGGCUAAUUCUGUCGAAAUUUUUGGGGAUUCCAUGCUUAUCGUGGAUCAAUUAACAGGGAGGUCCGAAUGCAAGGAUGAUGUGUUGAGGAUUUAUUACGAAGAUUGCCUGCGGCUUCUGAAAGAAUUCAAGUCUGUAGUUAUUGAGCACAUCCCAAGGAAUCACAACGAGGAUGCCAAAAAGCUCGCCCAACAUGCAUCUGGGUAUCGACCGAUUCAAGGCGCUAUGGCUCUAGAGCUCGCGGCCAAUGACUGGCGAAAAGAGAUCGCCGAUUACCUGAAGGAUCCAUCUAAGAAAGUGGAUCGGCGGGUAUGAUUUCAUGCUACCAAAUAUGUGUUACUGGAAGACGACUUGUUCUACCUAACAAUUGAUGGCGUCCUACUCAAGUGUCUAGGAACGGAGGAGGCUAAGACUCUGAUGGGAGAAAUCCACGAAGGAGUGUGUGGAGCCCACCAGUCGGCACAUAAGAUGAAAUGGAUGAUUAGGAAUAAUGGGUACUACUAGCUGACGAUCCUCGAAGAUUGCUUCAAAUACUAUAAAGGAUGCCAGGAUUGUCAGAAAUACGGGAAUGUCCAACGUGCGCCCGCAUCGGCCAUGAAUCCCAUUAUCAAACCAUGGCCGUUCAGAGGAUGGGGAAUAGACCUCAUUGGCCAAAUCUAUCCUCCGUCAAGCAAAGGGCACAAGUUCAUUCUGGUGGCCACAGAUUAUUUCACCAAAUGGGUGGAGGCGAUUCCGCUAAAGGCCGUAACAUCGGCCGCUAUGGUUGACUUUGUAAGGGACCAUAUCGUCUACUGUUUCGGCAUUCCCCAAACUAUCACGACCGAUCAAGGAACGAUGUUUACGUCAGGAGAAUUCGAAGAAUUCACGGCCGAUAUGGGAAUCAAAUUGUUAAACUCCUCUCCGUACUACGCCCAAGCUAAUGGCUAGGCCGAAUCUUCCAACAAAGGGAUAAUUAAGUUAAUCAAGAGGAAGAUAGAAGAGCAGCCGAAAAAAUGGCAUUUAUGUGUGACCGAAGCCCUAUGGGCAUACAGGAUGGCUUGCCACGGGGCCACCAAGAUGUCCCCUUAUCAGUUGGUGUACGGUCACGAAGCAGUGCUACCAUGGGAACUGAGGACGAGAUCGAGACGCACUUCGCUCCAGGACCAGUUGGCGGCCGAUGACUACUCCUCACUCAUGAAAAGGGAACUUGAUGACUUGGCUGGCCAACGAUUGAGAGCUUUGAUAAGUAUUGAAGAAAACAAGAAGAAAGUGGCCAGAUGGUAUGAUAAGAAGGUCAAAGUCAAGCAAUUCUCUCCGGGAGAUCUGGUAUGGAAGUUAGUGUUGCCGAUCGGGUCAAAAGAUCCUAAAUUCGGUAAGUGGUCCCCUACGUGGGAAGGGCCAUAUAAAAUCGGCAGAUGUGCUCCAGGAAACGCUUAUAUUCUGGAAACGAUCGAAGGAGAAGAGUUUACUAGGGCUUUGAACGGAAGAUACUUGAAAAGGUACUACCCUAGUAUAUGGGUCGCGGCAUAAGGAUCAAUCAUAACGAACAAACACAAAGCUGAUACAAAAAGAAUCGUCUAAAGAAAAAACCAUAAUCGUCCAAAUCGGCCGAUAUAUUAUUCGGUUCGGACGAUGGGUUACACGGCCGAUACGGUACAAGUCGCCCUUAGAACAAAAAAAUAAUUAACCAUGCCUCUUCUUAAGCUCUCUCUCAACCCGACCUAGUUCUAUCAGAAGACGGAUGUGCCGUUCUUCUAUCUCUUUCAUCGCGGCCUCCGCUUCAACUUGACAGGGGAGAGGAUGACUCCGGUCCAUUGCCGGACGUGAUGUUCCUGCUGCUGCAUCUUCAAGGAUGAUUUGAUGAGGAAGCGCGUGACUUCUGUCGGCUUGAGGUCGCCGGUGGUCGUAGCCGUCAAGGAAGUCCCAGAUCCGUCGGAUGUCAGCAGGAACGUGCUCUUUGAGUUCAUCACGAUGGGCCCUGAUUAAAUCCUUGUCUUCUUGUGACAACGGUUCGUCGGAGUACACGAGUCCGAUGGCUCGCUCGAGCUCAGGACUAAGGCGCCGCGGCUGGGAAAAGCAACAAUAUACAUAUGGCCGCCGAAGAUGUGAUUCUCUUCAGAGGAAUUAAACUGAGAAAGAGAAUGAAGGCAAAUCUUUUACUUGAUUAACGGAGGAAAAGGAAGAGGAUGAAGAAGACAUGACUGAAAAGCGCGCCGACGAAAACAAGUCAGGGAAAGACGAAGCCGAGCUAGACGGGUACUCUCAAAACGGGGACCUAGGCCGGUGUUUAUAAGAAGAGAAGGCGUGGAUGUUUGGUAAGACGCGUCCCAUCGGAAGUAAAAAGGGUAAUAAAUAAGGGGGCGCCGCGAAGGGCGGGCAAAGGAGAUAUUAAUGUUCGUAGAAGAUUACCAGUGCUUUUACAGGUCGCCUAGAAGGGCGUUGAUAGCCGCAAUCGCUCGACGCCGGAUCUGAUCGGCCGAAUCCAGAACCCGUUGAUCAUCCUCCGCCGAUCCAGGGACUUCUAACAUGUGGCGGUGGAGUUUGAGAGCUUCGUGAGCCAGGUGCUGCCUCUCCCGUUUCAGAUCGGCGAUGACGGAAGGAAGUUCCUGAAGCCUCUUCUCUUCGGCGUUUAUUGCUUUGGUCACCUGCUCCAUCUCCUUGGCAAGCUCUGCUCUUCGGCGUUUGAGGCGAUCUAUUGUGCCGACGAUUCCCGGGCGAGAGUCUUCCAGAAAGUGGAUCCGUUGAUGCACCUCUUGAGCUUGACGCUUGUACGUGUCUUCUUCUUCACGAGUCUUGGCCAACUUGGCGUGAUCGGCCAUGUGACGCAGGGCCCUAAAGACCGGAAUCCUCAUUGACUCGAUAUACGUGGCCGGUGCCAAGGCUUCUUCUGCUUCUUCUGGUACUCGCCCGCUGACGUAACCAAAAAGCUACCGAAUCGGCGAGGCAUCUUCUACUAAUCGGCCGAUGUCCUCUUGAAGGAGAGAUCGUAUGCUUGCAAGUUUGGCACGAACGUCAUCAGGAACGGAGCUCAAAGUGACCUGACGGGAGGCGACUUCCUCGUCAUCGGAGAGUGUGACCGCGAACGAAAAAAGACUGUUGUUGGGGGUGUCCUGUUCCUGGAAAAUAGUAAAUCAAAAAGAAAACAAAUCAGCCGAUGGUGAUAGCAAAUCGGCUGAUUAAGGGUGGGGAAUCUCUUACCUCCUUGAAACGGAUUUCUUCAAGCUGUGUUUGAGGGACCGUUACCCUCAACUCUGGGACUGGAGCCAUUGGCUCGUCUGAAGAAGAGGACUCAACAACGAUCGGCGCUCUGCUCGGGCCAGCUUCUUGAGUAAUGACCGAUGGUUGAUUAGGCGGGGCGCUUGAUGUACCGGUAACCUGUAUCAAAAUUCAAUAAGAGCAUCAUCCAAAUACUAGAAGAAUGGGCCGAAGGAUGGUAUACCUCGGUAGAUGGAGGCGCUGGCGUUUCGUCGACCGCUUGGGCUACUGCCGAUUGCUGGGGGUCCACGAGGGUGAUUUGUGCAGUCUAAUAUAAGAAGAGUCAGCAUAAGAGAUGGCGGUCAGAAAGAUCGGAUCACAAGUUUACCUGCAUGGCCUCUACCAGUAAUGACGCAGCGGCUGCUCUGGCUUCUGUGGCAACUUGAAUGUCGACUUCUCCAGCAGUUGAAAGGGGCGGCGCGACCGAAGUUUCUGCCGAUGUAAUCAUAGGAGGAUCGGCCGAUUCUAUACGAGCUCGUACUCGGCGACUGGUCUUGACAACCUUCUUCUGCGAUUGCUUCGCUCGACCGGCAAUAACAUCCACGAAAGGAGCAUGAUAGCCGAUAAGGGGGAAGGUGGUAUAUGGAUAAUGGUCCUCUAUCGGCCGGCCACUCCGGCUGCGUUUUGGGGGAACGCGGUUCUCAGACUGAGUCAACAGCAAGAGUUAGUAUAUACGUUUAACAACAUUAAUAGCGAAUGAAAAUCGGCUAGGAAGAAAUACCUCGGCAUUCGGGUCGAUGUUGGCUGGAUCAAGAAGGUUGCAGUAUGUCGAUACAGAGGUGCAGAACAGGUACUGUUUCCAUUCGGCCCACCAUAGCUUGAAUGGUUGAACGGCGAAGGGGGCUACUAUCCAUUCAUUUAGGUCUAUGGUACUGGAGUCUGGGAUCCGAUCUCGCAGCCGAUUAUAGUCAAGGCCCUUGGUGAGUUCAUCUCUGAACUUUGCUCGGCCGGCGAAGUACGCCUGAAUCGGCAAUUGACCUAUGCCGAACUGCCGUGCCGCAACGGAGGGGUUGUAGAACUCAUAUGUAGGAGCAUCUUUCCCCGAGAAGAAGUUGGCUGGUAAGAUUCCCGGUUUAAUUAAUUCGUCUGUGAGAUCUUCGUCGAAUCGGCCAGUAGUCGAGUCAAAGCAAGAAGGGAGCUCAAAGAUUGGAUCAUCUCUCUGAUAAGGGAACCAGACGGUUGCGUCUUCACUAAAGCCGUUGUAAAAACACCGGAAGUAUUCGGCCACCUUGGUAGCAGAGUACGAGCAACCGGAGAAGGCCGAUGCCGCUUCGCCGAAGGAUGUACAUCGGCGUCGGACAGUGGGAUUCUCUGCCGAUUCAAUAUUGGGGAACGUCAUGUGCUCCUCUCGUUGCUGAGAGAUCUUGCUCAUGUACAGGUUAAGCCAUAAGUUAGUAAACCACCAGGGUCCACCUGGGUUUCCAAUCGGCUCCCCUUGGGAUAAUUUGACGCCGAUUUGGUGAAGCAUGUGGUAGGCUACUCCCAGUAGGUGCUUUCCAAGGGGAACGGAAGUCCGUAUCGAUAAUGCCUCGGCCAGAGCUUGAGUGUUGGUGGAUGGACCAGCUGCUCUCCCACAGAAGAAAUGUUUCUCUAACCACAUCAUCAGGAAGGCCGUGUGUUCUCUGUUCUCGACUGAUCCGGCCCUUCUGUUACAUCUGAUGAACCCCUUCCAUCUGCCGAUUCCCCUUGUGUCCAGCCGAUGAGUUGUCGUGGCUAAAAGGCGAAAAGGGGUGUCCGGGGAGGAAAUGUCCAGGCCGGUCAGCAAGACUACAUCGGCCAGAGUGGGGGUCAUGGGUCCGUGUCCAAAAAGGAAUGCAUUGAGAGCGUCGGACCAGAAGUAAGAAGCUGCCAUCACUAAUGGCUUGUUCCGUUCCAUUUGGGACAAGGAUAGAUCGAUGCACUGGCCGAUUUUGAGCUCGUCCCAUUGGACCUUCUUGGAGGCGGCUAUCCGCUGGUACCAUUCCCUCCAGCCGGGAGUUUCAUUCGGCCAUGACCUAAAGGUACCCGACCAAUGAUCUAGGUCCAUAGUUGAUUGCUUGAAAGGGAUCCUAUGGGUUUCCAAAUUGAUUAAGUCAGUUGGAUCUGGGUUUCCCAUGGGACCAAGGCAGAUAAGGCCGGGAGUUUCUGUGAGGCGAAUGGUAAUGUGAUGCCUAACCGCCUAAAAAAGGAAAAAGGGGGUGCAGGAGUAAGAAAUAGAUCUAAAGUAAAUGCAUUACUGAUAGGGAAAGUUUCGGUAAUGACCUCCGGGAUGAAGCUCCUCGUAAUCAGCGGGAUCACCGGUGCAGCUGCAGAUGAUGAAGCCGCCAAUGGGAUUUCGGUUGAAGUCCCAACUUCCACUAAUGGAGUUCCUUCUCCCGUCGAUGGAGCCAUCGCUGUUGCUGCUGGAACCUCCACCGAAGGCGCCAUCUCCGGAGCUUCGGGUGCUGGUGAAGUGGUUGAGGGUGCCGCCAUUGGAGAAGUGGGGAGGAAUGGAAGGAAGGAGGCACCGGAGAAAACUGGAGGACUAAGGAAAGCGCCCGAGGAAGAAGAAGACCGGUGCGUUAAAGGAGGAAGACGUGAGCUCGUACGGGGAGUACGGGGCGUACUGAUAUUUAAAGGUGGUCUCAGAAGGGGUAAAAGUGUAAUUUUUACCGCGCUGGCGUUUCGAUUUUUUCGGGAGGAGUGGUUGUCGUGGGCGCCCGUUUCGAAAAAAUUGCAAUCAUCAGGCUGGAGACCGCGAAACGGAAGGAUAUUUUCAAUGCGUUCGUUUUGGAAGGGAAGUUGAAAGGAAUUUCGAAGUAAAGACUAUGUUUUACUCCGAAACUGGGGGGCAUGUGUUGACGCCAGAUUUUGACACAUGUGUAAUCGGCGUCAGGGAAAGAAGAAAUCAGAAGAAACGGCAAGACACAGGGAUGACGGUUGGAAAUCGGCCGAUUGGUGCUACAGUUAUGGAUCGGCCGAUUGACCUUUGGAGUUCCGCCUCACCCGACCCUACUGGGAUCGGAUGCGCUCAACCCUCCAAGGGAGGAUCUCCGCCUCGCCCGAUCCCAGGGUCGGAGUAGUCUGAGCCCUUGACACGUGGGUCCUAAUCGGUUGUCCCUUGCCGAUGAGGUGAAUAGAAAACGGCCAAUUAGGAGGUUGGAAUAAUUGGGCCAGUGUGGGCCUAAAGAAGAUUAUGAAGAUGAAGAAGGAAUCAGCCCAUGAAGAGCGUGAUAAUCGACCUAGUACGAAUCGUACUUGUAAAUAUUCGUUUUCUGUUUAAGUUUAGGGAUAGAGUUCUAAUCGGAUAAGAAGUCGUUUGUAACAGGCUAUAAAUAGCUGCCUUUGUAGAUCUGUAAUCAUCAUCAACUCAAUACAACAAACUACUACUUCCUCGUACUUACUUUCAAGCCGGCGACUUUGCCAAUACUUUUCUCUUUUCACGAGUUCGUACGGGUUGGCGGGGCUGCAUCAACUUGACCUCCGGCCGAUCUUGUAAGUUCCGCUUAUCGAAUAAUUUCUAAGCUUUAACUUCGGGCGCAUCGCUGUCGUUUUGUUUAGAUUUAUUCAUCAAUUAUCGAUAUUUACUAGAAUUUUAGGUUUUACCUGUUGUUCUGGUUUUAUCACUAGUUAUCCAGCUAGGAAUCGGCAAUUUCGGCUUUUCUUGUAUUUCGUCAUUUGAUCUAUUUAUUUCACGCAUAGCCGAUUAGAUCUGUUCCUAGUGUUGUUACUGUAGCGUUGUUUAGAUUACUCCAGUGGUUUUCUUUAUCGACGUUGCCUGGUAAUCGGUCGCAUUGUAACUGAUUUCCUCAAUAUAGCAAAUCGGCCGAUUCGCUGAUAAGCUUUCUCGAGAUCGGAACUUUAGCCGAUCGCUACCUCUGGGAUUUGACACGUUUCUCUCCUUGCCAAUCAACAGGUCAAAUUGGCUGGCACGCCGUGCGAACCGCACCAGGGCGAUCACCCGAACAGGAGCUAAGCAGAUUCUCCCGGGUCGUGUGUCCGACGUUGGGGAUUCGAUCAGUCGAUUUCUAGCGCCAACAACAACUAAUAAGCAUAGUAAUUCCUGAAAAUAAGUAUCAACAUGGGUAUACAUACGAAGAUGAUCAAAACCUUAAAAUUAUAGUGUCAACACCCAAGGAAAUAUGUAAAAAAAAGGGCUCGGUUAAUUAGGACCAAGAAUAAGAAACAUAGGUAAAGAAAAUAAAACUAAACAUACCAAUGAAUUAUACCCUAAGUAAAACCUUUAGGAAACAAGGUGGAGUAACAAAACGUGAAACUAAAAAUGUAAUUAUAUACCUCCAACAAAUACAACCAUAAGGGUAAAAAAAUAGGGGUAAAAACAAACUAAGGCUAAUAAUGGUAAUACAUAACUCACAUGAAAUAAGGAGGGGAAAAGUAACCUAAGGAAAUUAGAAAUAAUACUAAUAAAAACUCAUGAUAAAAGGGAAUAGAGAAAACCUAAAGAACUCAAGGAUAAAAAUAAAUACUAGAGCAUGACCAAACCAAUAAAUAAGAGAAUAAGAUUAGAAAUAUUAGUAAAAUGAGAAGUAGUAAUAAUAAACCUAUGGAAAACCCAAGGAAUAGAUAACAUCCCGACCUUUUCUUUUCAACCCUCAUGUCACUAAGGCAAUAAGGACAGAGAUCCUGGAAUAAUUUUACAUAGGAUACCCUUAAAGCCAAGGAGGUAGGAAUGAUAAUAACAAAUAACCCAUAAAAAGUAAAGAGAAUAAAGUCAAACCAGAAGUCAUAAAGAAGAUAAAAUAUGUACACAUACUAGGGAAAAGAAAAUGGACAAUAGGAUACAAAAAAGAGAAAAUCCCCCCUUAGAGGUCGAUAGAAAGAAACAAAUUCGAUAGACUACCAUAUCUAGAUGAGAAGAAAUUAACCUGGAAUCAAAUCAUCGAGGAGUUUGUUUGCCUCGAUGAAUAGGAAUCCUGCCACUCCAUCCCUUAAGGACAAACCCAC